ensembl:lncRNA
CGACUAUGGACUGAAACCUUUAUAGUGAACUAAACCCUUUCCUCCUUUAAAUUGAGAGGGUCAGGUAUUUUGACCCAGCGAUGAGAAAGUAAGAUACUACUUCUCUGCUGCUCAUAUGAGCAGAUGACUCAGUUGGACCAAGAGGGGAUCCCCCCAACUCUAUUUCUUGCCUAUAUUUCUAAGAAAUAGCAUACCACAGAUGCUCAUUAAGUAUUUAACGUCUCCCUGUUAUUACAGGAUAUAAGGUAGCACUCAUUACCUGAUAUACACAUCUCAACACCAAAAGGCCUCUGAGUUUUAAUUUUGACCUGCUGUGAACCAGCUCUGUGAUCUUGGCCAAAUCACCCUCUCAGUUUUGUCUUUUUUUUUUUAAAAAGACUUUAAAGGCAUUUUUAGUUUCCCAGCAAAAUGAAGAGGAUGAUACAGAAAUAUCCAUACAUCCUCACACCCAUAUAUGCAUAGGCUUUCCCAUUACCAACCCACCAGAGUGUGAUUUGUUAGUAGGUGAAUUUAAGACCAUCCUAAUCACCCAAACUAGAGACUGCGAAAAGGUCAGUGGUUGCCAGGAGCCAGGAGGGAGAGUGAGACGAAUGAGCAGAGCACAAAGGAUUUUUAGGGCAGGGAAAAUACUACUGUGAAGGACACAUGUCAUUGUGUAUUCGUCCAAAGAGGAUGUACAACACCGAGUGAGCCCUAAUGUAAACUGAACUCUAUGUGAUAAUUUUAUUAUUUUUAAAAUGAGAAAAUUUUACUACAUGAUUUUUGAGGUCAUUUCAUGCUGCAGAUCUUUAGAUUAUGAAGAAAAAUCCAUAAAAGACAACUAUCAGCAACAGGAAAUCACUGGCAGUUCUCUUUAGCAGAAUCCUUAGCUAGCCCUUGUCUAAGACCUAAUAUCUCAGAGAGAGGGAUAAGGUUUUUUACCAAAGAGGUUCCUGCUUGUGGUUUGCUUUGCCUUGCUGCCUGAAGUAGGUGGAUGCUGAAACUGGGAACAAGCACAACAGAAGCACAUGGCAUGAAAAUGCUAGGAAAGUGCUGUGGACAUGUGGCUGUGGUCGCCACACUGCCACACUUGCCUAAUCUGCGUACCUGCCUGGGGAAGAUCAUCCAGUUUGAGUGCAGAGGUGGCACCCAUUUUCUCUUGUUACCCAGAAAGGACAAGGCCCAAGCACAGUCCGAGACUUCACUUGCAGGAGGAAGUCCAGGCCAAUGUUUUACUUUUCUUCUUUGUGGUUGCUGAAAAAACUGCUGUUUCUCUUCCCUUUAACCAUAUUUGAGAGGACCUCUUAGUUACUUAUCUCAUUGCUCUAUCUCAGUCAUGGUGCUAUUCAGGGGAAAUAGUUAUUUCAUUAACAUUGGAAGUUCCUGUGGUUUUAAAAAUAAAUCCAUUUAAAUGACAGGAAAAAUAUGUGUCCUACUUUGACCAUCUAAAUCAUAUUUAUUAUUUCCACAUCCUAAAACACAGCACCCUCAGAGCUAUUUGUGUGUUAUUCAUAUGUUCACUAAUUAGAUCAUAUUGAAUUCUGCCAGGAGCCAGGCACUUUUUUAGGUAAUGAUAAAAAGCAUAUGGUCUUGAUCUCAAAUUUAAUCUACAGCUGGGUAUGGUGGUUGGUACAUGCCUGUAAUCGCAGCUACUUGGGAGGCUGAGGCAGGAAGAUAAUGAGUUUGAGGCCAGCUUGGGCAACUUAGUGAGAACCUGUCCUUAAAAAACAGUAACAGUAAUAUGCAUACCCUCAGAUAAUACCCACAUAACACAUAAUGUGCUGCAUUGUAAGAGUAAGGCAUUUGAACUGAAGGCAAACAGUUCCUGUAAUUCUCCCUUUUGAACUUGGCUUUUUCAAGACUGUCAAGUUCAAACUCCUAACACAUGUUUAAAACAAAAUGACUCUUUGAGACCAUUUGCGUGUCAUCUCCCUGCAUCACUCCUUUGUUCCAUUCUUAACACAAGAUUCGUGUAGAGUAACCCAUUGAAAGCAAGACAUCACGCUGUUAGGCAGAUGGAAAUCAAAGUUUAAAAUAACAUCAAGUCUUCUAUAGGCUUCUCCAUGUAAGCAAAGCAACAUGAAGAGUCAGAUUAACUGAAGAAGACCUGGAGAUGGAGAGGGUCUCGGACACAAUCGUAACCACUGGUCCUGCUCAUUGGGAUGUAAUGUAGUGUUGAGGAAUCUGAAUUUUUUCAACCUGGCUCCCCUGGAUCCCAAAAUAAAAUUUGAGGGAGAAAGAAAAAAAAAAUGCUGUCAGCUCUCACUUAAGUCUAGUUAAGAAUUUUAGUGUUUGGCCCAGACCUGGCACAGAAUGGAGUUGAGCACACAGACCAAAGAGCCAGCUCUAGGUUUGACUGGCUUUUGAAAUGAUUUCAAAAUUGUGUUAUGCAAGUUCCAAAGGGAAGUUAGAAUUGCAAGUUACAGAUGACAGAGCCUGAUUAUAGCCUUAAAAUACACUGCUCUGAACUCUGUUACCUCAACUGGAAAAAGGACAAUUUAAAAAAUAAAAAUAAAAAAACUAUGGCGAGAGUGAACAGCCUCUGGUUUAAUAAAACUUCUGGUUUAAUAAAACAAAAGUGAGCUGCAGGCAGUGGCUUAGGCUUAUCUCUUCUGUGGGCCCCAAAGGUUUCUUUUUCGUUUUUUUUUUUUUUUAUAUUAAAUUCUUUUAUUGGUACAUUGUAGGUAUACAACACAGUUACAUUUCUCAUUGGGAAUUGUACCUUUACAUAAUGCAUCUUGGUUCUUAUUUUUUCCCCAUUCCUAGCCCUCCCUUCACGCCCUCCACCCUUCCCUAUUUACAAAGACUUUAUUUCCAUUUCUCAUCAUUUUUCCUUUCCCUUCUUUCCUUUUCCCUGCCCCUCCCACUACCCCUACCCCUUUGGACCUUUUCUUCCUAUUUUACAUUAUCGAUUAUUCAUUCUAAUCAUUGGUACAUUUUAGGUAUACAAUAUAAUGACAUUCAUCAUUGGAAAUUUGCACCUUUACAUAGUCUCUCUUGGUUCUUAUUUUUCACCCUUGCCCAGCCCUUCCUUCAACCCCUCCAUUCCUCCCUAUUUACAAAGAUUUUGUUCCUAUUUUUCCAUUUUCUCAUAUUAAUCCCAUUCCCUUCUAUCCUUUCCCCUAGCCCUCCCACUUCCUUCCUCCCCAAAGGUUUCUUUUAUUUCCCUUUUUGACCCUAAAGUGGCUCAUCUUCAUCCCUUUUUUUCUUUUCUUAGUAAUUUAUUCCAGAUUACCAAGUUUGUCUUGUAGGGUUUCCCACAUUUCGGAUUCUCACUGUUGUCUGUGGUAUGUUUAACAUCUUCCUCUGUGCCCUGUAUUUUCUGUCAACCAGUACAGUUAAACUGAGGUAUGAUCUGAUUCUGGCUUGAUUUUUCUUAGCAAGAAUAGCUGAUGGAGUGGGGUGCGUAGACACACACCAUUUCUAGUCUUUUUUUUUUUUUGGUACCGGAGAUUGAACUUGGGACCUUCCACUUUCGAGGCAGGUGGCGGAACCACUGAGCUAAAUCUCCAGCCCUCUAGUCAUUUUUAUAGUUUCAUUGAUUAGUUAUCACUGGCCAGUGAGCACUCUUUCGCUCUGUGCUGUAUGACCAGGUAAAUGGCAGUGAGAUUCCAUUGAAAAAAUAGAUGAAGCAACGUGCCCAGUGUUGCACACACAGUACACAAUAUAUUGCCAGCUGAUGGAGGCAGGCUUCCACAGAAGAGGGCAAAAAGAGCUGAUGAUUCUUUUUUUCUUUUGCAGUACUAGGGAUUGACUCCACAGCCUUCACACUGAACUACAUUUGCAGCCCUUUUAUUUUACUUCAUUUUUUUUGUUUGUUUGUUUGUUUGUUUUUUGAAACAGGAUCUUGCUAAGUUGCUAAAUUGCUCAGGCUGAGCUUGAAUUAUUGUUCUUCCUAUCUCAGAUUCCCAGAAUGCUGGUAUUACAAGCAUGCAUCACCACCCCCAGCCUGAUGAACCAUUUCAUACAGGACUAGUAAUAUAUAUCAAACUUGAUGAAAAGGUACCUGAGGCUUUUGGAGAGUUGCAUUAGGCUUCAAUCAUUCUAAGAGGUUGAUUUGUCCUACCUGUUUUUAGUGAUUCUUUUUUGUUGAUUACUCCUCUAUUCUAGAAGAAAAUCAGAUUACAAUUACAUUGUAAUUAUAAAGACCAACAUACACACAAAGAAAAAAAUGUGAGCAAGGUAUGAGAAUCUACAGAGAUCUGGUGAAGGUACUUGCUUGAGUGGAUCAGCUACAGCUUGGAUGUAGCCAGAAGUCAGAGGAAAGAUGAAAGUCGUUAUAGUUUAUAUCUAGAGCCCCCCUAAAGCCUCAGGAAAUCACAGAUGGGAACCUUCAGAUGUGACUGGAUUAUAGCAGUGCAAUAGCUGACUUGCAGAAGAGGCAGGCCACUGUGGGCUUGACCCGGAAGGUAAUAGCUCCCUUCCUGUAUCCUCGCGUGGUUCUCUCUGCUUCCUGUCCACCAUGCCAUGCAUGGCUUUUUGCUAUCAUGGCCCUGUACAGUGCUGUUCUAGACUAUGGACAGAAACCCCUACAAACUGUGAGCCAAAAUAAACCUCUCCUCCUCUAAUUUGUGAGUAUUGGGUAUUUUGUCUUAGCAAUGAGGGAAGUAACAAGACAAGAGCCUUCCUUCAGAGAGUUUGUUCUCAGAUGUGAGUCCCAGAAGUGUUCAUAAAGCACACAGAGAUUUAAAUGGAGAUGGAUUUGUGCUGCCUUUUAAGAAAGGUGGACGCGAUUCCACUGCUCCCAGGACAGAGGAGGUGAGCCGCAUGGGCACCAGCGGCAUCCUCCCCACUGCCUCAUGGAACUGAGAAGACACAUAAACAAGCCUCAAAAACAGACUUCCAGAUCACCUACAGCAACCCCAAAGGGAAAGGAAAUGGAACAAUCUGAAACUCAACCACCUGGACUCCCUGAACUGGCAACAAAAGAGGAUCUGGAAAAAAUGAAAUCAGAAAUAAUUACUCAGAUAACAGCAGAGAUUGUGCCUAUAGUGCAAAACAUGAUUAAUAAAUCUAGAGAGGACACAGAUGAAAAAAAUAGAGGAGCUGAGGAACAUGAUGGAAUCCCAACAUAGGAAACAAGUUCCAUAAAACAUAUACAUGUAUCCAUAAAACAGACACAAACAGAUUUCCAGGAGAUUAAAAACUCCAUUGAAAGUCUAUGCAGCACAAUGAACCAAUGUGAGGACAGAAUUUCACACAGAGAAGGUAAGAUUGCAAUUAGUGACCAGGAAAAGAAAAAUUGCUUUAAGAUUGUAAGGGACCAUGAGAAAUCAAUCCAGCAGCUGCUAGAUGAUGCAAAGAGGAAUAACAUAAGACUGACUGGAGUCAAUGAAGAAAGAGGAGAGAGUGCAGAUGACAUAAAAAAAACUGUUCACAGAAGUGAUGGCAGAAAACUUCCCAAGGAGGGGAAAAGAACUUGACGUACAGAUAAGUGAGGCAUAUAGGACUCCAGCUAGCCUUGAUCAAAAAAAAUCUACACAUAGCCAUAUAAUAGUUAGGAUUCCAGAAACCCAAAAGAACAAAAUUCUACAAGCAGUGAGAGAAAAGAAACAAAUCACAUACAAAGGAAAGCCCAUCAGAAUCACAGCAGACUUCUCAAUGCAAACCCUCAAGGCAAGAAGAUCUUGGAGUGAUGCAUUUCAAGCCCUAAAGGAAAACAGCCUCCAACCCAGAUUGAUGGACUCUGCAAAACUAUCUUUCAAAAUUGAUGGAGAAAUAAGAUACUUUCAUGAUGAAGAGCACCUCAGGAACUUCUUGAAUACAAAACCAGCACUCCAAAAAUUUUAGACAAUAUCCUAGGAAAAGACAAUGAGGAUCACAACCCCAGGAAACCCAGCACAAUGAAUACAUUGGGGUCUGAAAAAUUAAACGCAAAAGGGGAGAAUCCAACAAAAAGAAGAAGUCAUGACAAGGCUUUUAAAACUUUUAACUUCAUCUCCCUAAUGAGUGUAUAAUUCAGUCUUGUUAUUGUACUGAUUAGUAUUUUUCUGAUUCUAGUGUUGCACGCCUUUCCUUGUGCUGUACUGGCUAUUUAUCAUCUUCUUGUGUCUACUUUUUAAUUGGGUUGUCUAUUAAUGAGCUGUAAGAGUUCUUUAUAUAUUCUGCUCAUAGGUUAUAUGCAUUGUAAAUAUGGUCUGUUUAAGGACUACUUUUCAUUUUCAUGAUGUCAUUUAAAGUUCUAAAUUUUGAUGGAAUCUCACUUAUCAAUUUUUUUCUUUUAUACAUCAUGUUUUUUGUAUCCUAGGAAGUUUUUGCCUACCCUGAAUUGAUAAACAUUUUCCCUUAUAAUUUCUUCUUAAAGUUUUAUAGUUUUAGUCUUUCAUAUUUAGGUUCAUAGAUCCUUUCAAGUUCUUUUUAUGUAUGGAAAUAAAGAGUUGAGGUUAAUUUUUUAUAUAUGGAUACCAGGUGUUCUAGUACCAUUUGCUGAAAACACUAUCUUUUCCUCAGCUCUUGAAUUGAGUUUGUAUUCUAUAAAAUGCUAACGUUAAAUAAUCUUUCAAAACUCAGUGGACCAUAUAUGUGUGGUUCUAUUUCUAGAUUCUGUUUUAUUCCAAUGAUCUAUGUCUUUCCUUACACCAACACUGCCUUGAUUACUGUAGCUUUAGAGGAAGGCUUAGAAUUAGGUACUAAACGUCUUCCAACACUGUUCUUUUUUUUUUCUUUUUCUUUUUACUUUUCCAGGUCCUUUCUACUCCUACAUAACUUUUAAAUUUCAAUAUCCAAUUCUUCAUUUAUAGCAAGUGUACAUAGAUCUGAAUUUGUAUAUAUACCUUGUGUUUUCUAAUCCUGCUAAAUUCAAGUACAAGUUCUAGGGGCUCCUAGAGAUUUCUUAGUAUUUUCUCUGUAGAUGGUCAUUUCAUCUACAUAUAAAGAUUUUGCUUCUACCUUGCCAAUCCUAUCCUAAUUGUGUCAUUUUAUUGCCAGACUAUUUUGCUUUGGGCCUAUGUUUCAAAGUUUAAUGGACAGGUAAAGAGUAGGCAUAUCUGCCCUUGUUCCCCACCUUAGGGAGAAAGCAUUGUAUCUUCUCCAUUCAUAUAAGGUGUUUUUGCUGGAAGUAUGGAGUACAUGUCUUUGAUCUAUUGAGAAGGUUCUAUUCUACUUCUAGUCUCCUGAUAGCUUUUACCAUGAUUAGCUGUAGAAUUUAGUCCAGUAUUUUUUUUCCAACUAGUGACAGGAUCAUAUGGCUUUUUCCUUUCCUCUGUUAAAAUGAUGACUUUUGGGGGUGGAUCUUCCAAUGCUGAACCAACACUCCCAUCCCUAUAAUAAAACCAGUUUUUACGUACUGCCAGAUCUGACUUCUAAUAGUGUGAUUUGUUAAACAAAUUUUUAUCUAUAGUCAUACUUUUUUUCUUCUAUUAUCUUUAUCCAGUUUUAGGAUUAGCACAAUGUUGAUUUCCUAAAAUGAGGGGAGAAGUGUUCCUUCCUUUUUCUGCUUUAAUCGUUUGAUAUAAUUUAUCAUUUAAAAUGUUUAUGAGCCUGCUGUUGUCAUAUAGAUAGGUUUUCAAGCUAGGAAUAUACUUUCUUUAAUAGGUGCUAUUCAAAUUUUUUUAUCUCCUCCAGAGUUAGUUUCAUUAAUUUGUCUUCCAAAGUACUUCUUAGAAGUUGUCAAAUUUAUUUCAAAAAAGAUUUUUGAGGGCCGGGGAUUUAGCUCAGUGGUUUCGCCGCCUGCUACGCAAGCGCAAGGAACUGAGUUCGAUCCCCGGUACCAAAAAAAAAAAAGAUUUUUAUAAUAUGCUCUCUAUAUCCUUUUAAAUUCUGUAAAAUCUGUGGUAAUGUCCUCUGCAUCUUGAUAUUGUAAUUUUAAAAAUGUAUAAUUGAUAUUGUGUAACAGGAAGAAAAGGUCUAAAGGUGCAGGGGAAGUGGGAGGGGUAGGGGAAAGGAAAGGAGGGAAAAGAAAAAAUAUGAGAAAAGGAAAAAAAUGGAAACAAAGUCUUUGCAAAUAGGGAA